GGCCGGUUGGCGCAAUGGUAGCGUAUAGACCUCCUACUCCAACUGCUGGUUCACUGAAUCAGUUGUAGAGGUCAGUCUAGGGUUGCGGGUUCGAGUCCCGUGCUGGUCG